rnacentral:rRNA from 1 species
CCUCAGUAACGGCGAGUGAAGCGGCAACAGCUCAAAUUUGAAAUCCGACCCCUUCGGGGCCCGAGUUGUAAUUUGUAGAGGACGUUUCGGGUGCGGCGCCGGUCUAAGUUCCUUGGAACAGGACGUCGUAGAGGGUGAGAAUCCCGUAUGCGACCGGUGACCAACCCCAUGUGAAACCCCUUCGACGAGUCGAGUUGUUUGGGAAUGCAGCUCAAAAUGGGUGGUAAAUUUCAUCUAAAGCUAAAUACCGGCCAGAGACCGAUAGCGCACAAGUAGAGUGAUCGAAAGAUGAAAAGCACUUUGGAAAGAGAGUCAAACAGUACGUGAAAUUGUUGAAAGGGAAGCGCUUGCAACCAGACCUGCCCCUGGGCGAUCAGCCGUUAUUCUUAGCGGUGCACUCGUCCUUGUUCAGGCCAGCAUCGGUUCGGGCGGCCGGAUAAAGACCCCGGGAAUGUAGCUCCCUCCGGGGAGUCUUAUAGCCCGGGGUGCAAUGCGGCCAGCCCGGACCGAGGACCGCGCUUCGGCUAGGAUGCUGGCAUAAUGGUUGUAAGCGACCCG